UACGUAGGGUGCAAGCGUUGUCCGGAAUUAUUGGGCGUAGAGAGCUCGUAGGCGGUCUGUCGCGUCUGCUGUGAAAACUCGGGGCUUAACUCCGGGCCUGCAGUGGGUACGGGCAGACUAGAGUGCGGUAGGGGAGACUGGAAUUCCUGGUGUAGCGGUGAAAUGCGCAGAUAUCAGGAGGAACACCGGUGGCGAAGGCGGGUCUCUGGGCCGUAACUGACGCUGAGGAGCGAAAGCGUGGGGAGCGAACAGG
rnacentral:rRNA from 1 species